CCUCAUCCAGAAAGGAAAGGAAUGCAGACUGACCCCUCUAUUCAGUGCUUCCUAAUGAUUUAUUUCCACUCUGCAUGUUUGGUGUUGUAACACCUGCUCCCAGCUGCCUCAGGCUCCCCAUUCUACAGGGACCGGAGGGAAAAUGGGGACCUAACUUACAUUUUCUCUCCUGAAGCCACAUGCCUAACUUAUAGUCUUUUCAGUGUCAGCAGUAACAUCUAAAUCUCAUCUGAGCUUUAGUGCUUGGCUAUAAACAUUACUCGGCAAUCCUUUGGCAGAGGCAAGGAUAGAGAACCGUUCUCUUGGGGAACACGUAACUCCUUUAGUCACGGGAUCUUCUUUUGCUAAUCUCAACACUUCUGGCUUAUUCCCCUGUCCAUCUUCUUGUUGAUGAAAAAUGACGCAGAGAGUUCUACAUAUGAGAUGCCUUCACCUGUGACACUUUGGAUCACCUCCCCUCCUGCAAAAAGAAAGCAGGAUUCUUCUACAGGCAAAAGAUAUGGGAGGAAAAGUAAUCAUAUUGGAAAUCUGUGUCACAGUCUGUCUCUCUGGCUGACCUUCAGGAAAACUCCAUUAAUAUGUUCUGGUCACUAACAACUUGAACUACCAGGAUUGUCUUCCAAGGAAUGGGAAAACUGAAGUAACAGGUUAGCAUCAUAGAGAAGAGAACCAAGCAAUACUGUUACGACUCCAUUUCACAUCUGCGGAAACAGUAGAUGGCAUACAGGCAAGUCGCAAAAUGUUCCCUGGGCAACGUUCAUGAGACCACUCUUCUUUUUUUCCAUGAACAACUUCAGGAACCACUAGUGGACACACCGAAUAAAUUCAGCCAAUCUGACAUUACGUGCGCUCG